rnacentral:rRNA from 1 species
AUUGAACGCUGGCGGCAGGCCUAACACAUGCAAGUCGAGCGGAGCGGCGGACGGGUGCGUAAUGCCUAGGAAUCUGCCUGUUCGUGGGGGAUAACGUCCGGAACCGGGCGCUAAUACCGCAUACUAUCAGAUGAGCCUGGGUCGGAUUAGCUAGUGGGUGGGGUAAAGGCCCACCAAGGCGACGACCCGUAACUGGUCUGAGAGGAUGAGCAGUCACACUGGAACUGAGACACGGUCCAGACUCCUACGGGAGGCAGCAGUGGGGAAUAUUGGACAAUGGGCGAAAGCCUGAUCCAGCCAUGCCGCGUGUGUGAAGAAGGUCUUCGGAUUGUAAAGCACUUUAAGUUGGGAGGCGUUACCAACAGAAUAAGCACCGGCUAACUUCGUGCCAGCAGCCGCGGUAAUAC